rnacentral:rRNA from 1 species
CCUACGGGAGGCAGCAGUGGGGAAUUUUGGACAAUGGGCGAAAGCCUGAUCCAGCAAUGCCGCGUGAGUGAAGAAGGCCUUCGGGUUGUAAAGCUCUUUUGUCAGGGAAGAAACGGUGAGGGCUAAUAUCCCUUGCUAAUGACGGUACCUGAAGAAUAAGCACCGGCUAACUACGUGCCAGCAGCCGCGGUAAUACGUAGGGUGCAAGCGUUAAUCGGAAUUACUGGGCGUAAAGCGUGCGCAGGCGGUUUUGUAAGUCUGUCGUGAAAUCCCCGGGCUCAACCUGGGAAUUGCGAUGGAGACUGCAAGGCUAGAAUCUGGCAGAGGGGGGUAGAAUUCCACGUGUAGCAGUGAAAUGCGUAGAGAUGUGGAGGAACACCGAUGGCGAAGGCAGCCCCCUGGGUCAAGAUUGACGCUCAUGCACGAAAGCGUGGGGAGCAAACAGGAUUAGAUACCCUGGUAGUCCACGCCCUAAACGAUGUCUACUAGUUGUCGGGUUUUAAUUAACUUGGUAACGCAGCUAACGCGUGAAGUAGACCGCCUGGGGAGUACGGUCGCAAGAUUAAAACUCAAAGUGAGUAGAGCGNGAGAGUGCGACGACGACGACGAGGAGGAGG